rnacentral:rRNA from 1 species
UACGUAGGGUGCAAGCGUUGUCCGGAUUUAUUGGGCGUAAAGAGCGUGUAGGCGGCCAGGUAGGUCUGCUGUGAAAACUCGAGGCUCAACCUCGAGACGUCGGCGGAAACCAUCUGGCUAGAGUCCGGAAGAGGAGAGUGGAAUUCCUGGUGUAGCGGUGAAAUGCGCAGACAUCAGGAAGAACACCCGUGGCGAAGGCGGCUCUCUGGGACGGUACUGACGCUGAGACGCGAAAGCGUGGGGAGCGAACAGG